rnacentral:rRNA from 1 species
CUUGGUCAUUUAGAGGAAGUAAAAGUCGUAACAAGGUCUCCGUAGGUGAACCUGCGGAGGGAUCAUUACAAGUGAACAGCCCUUCGGGGCCUGUCUCAUAACCCUUUGUUGUCCGACCAUGUUGCCUCCGGGGCGACCCUGCCUUCGGGCGGGGGCUCCGGGUGGACAAUUCAAACUCUUGCGUAACUUUGCAGUCUGAGUAAAUUUAAUUAAUAAAUUAAAACUUUCAACAACGGAUUUCUUGGUUCUGGCAUCGAUGAAGAACGCAGCGAAAUGCGAUAAGUAAUGUGAAUUGCAGAAUUCAGUGAAUCAUCGAAUCUUUGAACGCACAUUGCGCCCCCUGGUAUUCCGGGGGGCAUGCCUGUUCGAGCGUCAUUUCACCACUCAAGCCUCGCUUGGUAUUGGGCAACGCGGUCCGCCGCGUGCCUCAAAUCGACCGGCUGGGUCUUCUGUCCCCUAAGCGUUGUGGAAACUAUUCGCUAAAGGGUGUUCGGGAGGCUACGCCGUAAAACAACCCCAUUUCUAAGGUUGACCUCGGAUCAGGUAGGGAUACCCGCUGAACUUAAGCAUAUCAAUAAGCGGAGGA